rnacentral:rRNA from 1 species
UACGUAGGGCGCAAGCGUUGUCCGGAAUUAUUGGGCGUAAAGAGCUCGUAGGCGGCUUGUCGCGUCGGAUGUGAAAGCCCGGGGCUUAACCCCGGGUCUGCAUUCGAUACGGGCAGGCUAGAGUUCGGUAGGGGAGAUCGGAAUUCCUGGUGUAGCGGUGAAAUGCGCAGAUAUCAGGAGGAACACCGGUGGCGAAGGCGGGUCUCUGGGCCGAUACUGACGCUGAGGAGCGAAAGCGUGGGGAGCGAACAGG